GGUCUGAUCUCCAGCAGCAAUUUUAGGUAGAAGGUCAGUGACACCAAGACUAAAGCCAGAGGGCAGGAAGCAGGGCAGCCCAUCUGCCUUCCUACCUGCUAAGCCAGCUGAGACUGAGUCAUGACAUAAACAACUGCCUGGUGUGCCAGGAAAAGCUGUCAUGACUGAACCUAAUGUGAUAGUGACCAUUGUGAGCCAUGAAUACAGUGUACGCAAUUUACUGUAAGUGAGUUCAGAGCACAGCGCAGCCAGUCAGUUCCUGACUGAAUCACUGACUGCAUGUCGUGCGAUAAAAGAGGCUCACACUCUGCUCACUGCCCGUGACGACACUGAGCACAUCUCUCUGAUUGCCCUGUGUCUUCUCAGACAUCAGUCUUCUGCAAGGACGGCCUCGUGGCUAUGCUGACCCCAUUAUCCAGGGCCAGCCCUAAGUGAUUUAUCUGACAAGCCUGGAGAACCAAAAAGCUGCAGUUUAUGACAUUUAGCAAUACAAGCUCUUUGCUGAGCUCUUCUGCUUGAUGCUACCAAUCUGUCAAGAGCUGAACCAAGAGCUGCCUCAUCUCUGGAAAUAACGCAGCAUCUCUGCCACGUUCAGCCUGGGCAGACUCCUGGAGCAGACCCCUCAGAGCACAAGCAAAAGUGCUUCACUGCGAUCCCUGUCAGCUUCCCAAUUUGGGCCCCUGCUGAAGGGAGCCACAGGGAAGAAGAUGGAGCAGGCAUCACAACUGCCCAGCCCUGCAGGAAGCCCGUGGUGGAUGUGGGCUGGUCUGGCCCUCCUGUGAGCAAGAGCCAAAAAAUGCAGAUUGAGAUAAGGAAAUAGAAGCCACCGGAGCAUGCUGUGCCACAGACUCUCCUUUGACAGUGGACAAGUCACUUCUCAUCUCAGAAACUUCCCCAGUUGUGAGACAGAGACAGCAACACUGCCCUAACUCACGCUACUGGAAGAUAAAUAUAGUAAUAAACAUGAACUACAAUUCUGCAGUAACAGGACCCCUCCUGAGUACAGAAAAUUGCCAUUUCCUUCGGUUUCCUUGUUCUUCAGCUGGAGUCAACAGGUGUCUGGGGCACUCGGAUGUGAUCUGCAGACAGCCAGCAGUUUGCAGGAUAGGCUGUAUCUCUGCAGAAGAGCUGCAGGUCCCUACACCCCCAUCACUCUGCCUGCCUUCCAAGCUCUUCGUUACCUGACCUGACUUCUCAUUUCAGUAUUCUUGCACUCUUCGUGACAUUUCAAAACCAAGAACAAACGCCUUCUGAAAGUCUUGGGAUGUGGGGAGAGCAGAAGGUAAUAUCAUUUAACCCAAAGUGCUCAUAACACA